CCUACGGGAGGCAGCAGUGGGGAAUAUUGGACAAUGGGGGGAACCCUGAUCCAGCGACGCCGCGUGAGUGAAGAAGUAUUUCGGUAUGUAAAGCUCUAUCAGCAGGGAAGAAAGAAAUGACGGUACCUGACUAAGAAGCCCCGGCUAACUACGUGCCAGCAGCCGCGGUAAUACGUAGGGGGCAAGCGUUAUCCGGAUUUACUGGGUGUAAAGGGAGCGUAGACGGCGAUGCAAGUCUGAAGUGAAAGGCGGGGGCCCAACCCCCGGACUGCUUUGGAAACUGGAUGGCUGGAGUGCAGGGGAGGUAAGUGGAAUUCCUAGUGUAGCGGUGAAAUGCGUAGAUAUUAGGAGGAACACCAGUGGCGAAGGCGGCUUACUGGACUGUAACUGACGUUGCGGCUCGAAAGCGUGGGGAGCAAACAGGAUUAGAUACCCUAGUAGUC
rnacentral:rRNA from 1 species